AACGGAUGUAACGUUCGGGGAUAAUCAUAACACAGACAGUUUAGUGUAAUAUGCCAUAAUGAACUGCUUUGAAUGCAUCUAACCAGUUAAUGCAUACUGGAGCUGGUAGCCCAUGAAGGCACUGUGUGCCUAAACGUCAUAUCCUGUCUUAUCCUGUCUCGUUUCAGACGUCACAUUAGUCCGGUCAUAUCCUGUCUCGUUUCAGACGUCACAUCCUGUCUCGUUUCAGACGUCACAUUAGUCCGGUCAUAUCCUGUCUCGUUUCAUAUCAGACGUCACAUUAGUCCGGUCAUAUCCUGUCUCGUUUCAGACGUCACAUUAGUCCGGUCAUAUCCUGUCUCGUUUCAGACAUGUCACAGUCAGGUCAUAUCCUGUCUCGUUUCAGACGUCAC
ensembl:lncRNA